UAUUCUUCUAUACGUUCUUCCAAGAUAAUUUGUUUUGCUAAUUUGUAGAUUCAUAAUAUUAUUGCAGGGUAAGAUCUACAGGCUUUUCGGCUGGGAAUACAGAAAGCCUGCAAGGGUGCCAGCUGCUUGUCCAUACAAGCCUGCUUCAAAAAAUGUUGAUGGUUUAAAUGCAGGUACAGAGUCUCUUGUGGAACCUCAUAAAAAUUCUGCUACACAAUCUGA